CAACGUGUCGUUAACGUGAACCACCAGCACAUCCAUCGGAUUUACAUCGCCUCACAAUCUCAGUUUCUCACUUCAAAACCAAUGUUAACCCUUUCUCUCUCCAAAAAAAUGGCAUCUUCUCCGGUACUAACUGCUCCAUCAUCGACGCCCCUAUCAACUUCUCCACCGUUUAUCAAAUACCGCGUCGUUUCCUCUCGGCCUUUCGAUUUUGAUUUUGAUCGGACAGUUGAAAAAGGUGCUGAGGUGGCAAAAAUUCAACAGAUAAACAUGACGGCGCGGCGCCGGCGAUGGGGAAGAAGCUAAUCUCCAUUCAUAAGUCAUGAAAUUUUGUGACGAAAAUUAUUUAAUCUAAUAAUCCAGUACGGUGAUUUCCACUUGAAGAAUGCUGUUUGUGCGUUUUUCAUGGAGAUAAAUUGAAAUUUGUAAAUGAAAGGACUAAGUAGGGCUUCCGAGAAUCCUAUUUGUGUACUUACUGUUUUCAAAAAAUGGAGAAUACUGCGAAGCAGAGGAAUUUGGUUACUGUAUAAGGAAAGAGUCUUGGCCGUUGAGUAAACUCCCGAAGGACGCUGCCGUCGGUGACCAGAAGUCACGGGUACAGGCCAUUGUGAAGGAACUGAGGGAGAUGUACGUGAGUGGGAAGACGAAGGAGUACGCGUGGAGAGUGUCACAGUUGAAAGCUCUGUUUAAGAUUGUUGAGUUUUGCGUGAAGGAGCGUCGCGAGCAUCUGACAUGUCUAAGACUGAACUUGAUUGUUCCAGAGUGUUGGUGGCAAUGGACAGAAGAAAUGGAUGGCGUGAAAGAAGAGGUAGGUAAGAGAAGUUAUAUAGUGAGUAAAGGUGCCAUAUAAAUUGUGUACAAAGAUGUACGACAGAUGCAUGACGGAGCUGAAUUAUUUUACUUGCUCGAGCUUAUCCAUGACCAUUUGAAGAAGCAACUCCUCCACAAAUAGUCCACAACUUUAAGUGUGCUGAUGAAUUAGUGUUGUAUGGAUAUAUAUAGAGUAUGAGCAGAGUUCGACAUGUUAAAUGCAUAGACUCUGAUGUUUUUUUUUUUUGGAUCUGUACAAUAAUUUGAAAUUAUUUAUUGGGUCCGUAUAAUGUUGCUUUCUAUGUUUUAUUUA